AUGUCUAAUCAUCAGAAACAUGGUGUCCGUUUGCUCCAAAGAACCUUGGAGCUGCAGAAGUUUCCUAUGGGAAGUGCACCAAUGUGUAUACCUGUCAUAGAUGACACAUAUGAAGACUUGUUGAGAUCCAGUAUUGGUCCUCUGAUUGUUCAUACACCUACUCAAGUUGCUUUUGUGCCACAUAAGGUAACAUCACCUUUCCCAGGAAAGCUGGUGAGGAAGGCAAAUGCAGUCAUGCCUGAAGAGAUUGCAUCAAGUGUCUAUUCUGAUGGUAGGCAUGCUACAAAGAAUGGGCACUUGAGGAUUUCUAGACCUUUGGGGCAAUAUGAUGAAUCUGAUUGUGUAGAUUUCCCUUUUGCCUCUAAGAAAAAAAUGCAUUUCCAGAGAAGUCUAGCUCCUUUUGGUAAUGAGGGUGAUGGGUGGAAGAAGAUUGGGUCUUGCCUUCCAUACAUUCCAAUUAUAAACCCACAUGCUAAGGUUGUUCGUCGAUGGAACUAG
rnacentral:rRNA from 1 species